rnacentral:rRNA from 1 species
GACGGGGGGGGCAAGUGUUCUUCGGAAUGACUGGGCGUAAAGGGUGCGUAGGUGGCGCGGUAAGUCGGGUGUGAAAUUUCGGAGCUUAACUCCGAAACUGCAUUCGAUACUGCCGUGCUUGAGGACUGGAGAGGAGACUGGAAUUUACGGUGUAGCAGUGAAAUGCGUAGAGAUCGUAAGGAAGACCAGUGGCGAAGGCGGGUCUCUGGACAGUUCCUGACACUGAGGCACGAAGGCCAGGGGAGCAAACGGG